GGGGUUGUGGCUCAGUGGUAGAGCAUUUGCCUAGCAUGUGUGAAGCUCUGGGUUCAAUCCUCAGCACCA
rnacentral:tRNA from 1 species